AGAGUUUGAUCAUGGCUCAGGACGAACGCUGGCGGCGUGCCUAACACAUGCAAGUCGAGCGGGGAGAAGAAUUCGUUUUUCUCUUUAGCGGCGGACGGGUGAGUAACACGUGGGUAACCUGCCUCAAAGAGGGGGAUAGCCUUCCGAAAGGAAGAUUAAUACCGCAUAAUAUCAGGGAGCUGCAUGGCAUUCUGAUCAAAGGAGCAAUCCGCUUUGAGAUGGACCCGCGGCGCAUUAGCUAGUUGGUGAGGUAACGGCCCACCAAGGCGACGAUGCGUAGCCGACCUGAGAGGGUGAUCGGCCACAUUGGAACUGAGACACGGUCCAGACUCCUACGGGAGGCAGCAGUGGGGAAUAUUGCACAAUGGGGGAAACCCUGAUGCAGCAACGCCGCGUAAGUGAUGAAGGCCUUCGGGUCGUAAAGCUCUUUGAUCAGGGACGAUAAUGACGGUACCUGAAAAACAAGCCACGGCUAACUACGUGCCAGCAGCCGCGGUAAUACGUAGGUGGCGAGCGUUGUCCGGAUUUACUGGGCGUAAAGAAUGCGUAGGUGGAUAUUUAAGUGGGAUGUGAAAUCCCCGGGCUCAACCCGGGAACUGCAUACCAUACUGGAUAUCUGGAGUGCAGGAGAGGAAA
rnacentral:rRNA from 1 species